rnacentral:rRNA from 1 species
UCUCCUACGGGGCGCAGCAGUGGGGGAUAUUGGACAAUGGGGGGAACCCUGAUCCAGCGACGCCGCGUGAGUGAAGAAGUAUUUCGGUAUGUAAAGCUCUGUCAGCAGGGAAGAAAGCAAUGACGGUACCUGACCAAGAAGCCCCGGCUAACUACGUGCCAGCAGCCGCGGUAAUACGUAGGGGGCAAGCGUUAUCCGGAUUUACUGGGUGUAAAGGGAGCGUAGACGGCAGCGCAAGUCUGGAGUGAAAUGCCGGGGCUCAACCCCGGAACUGCUUUGGAAACUGUGCAGCUAGAGUGCGGGAG